rnacentral:rRNA from 1 species
UACAGAGGGUGCAAGCGUUGUUCGGAAUUAUUGGGCGUAAGGGUGCGUAGGCGGUGCGGUAAGUCUGUAGUGAAAUCUCUGGGCUCAACUCAGAGUCUGCUAUAGAAACUGUCGGGCUUGAGUAUGGGAGAGGUGAGUGGAAUUUCCGGUGUAGAGGUGAAAUUCGUAGAUAUUCGCAAGAACACCAGUGGCGGAAGGCGGCUCACUGGCCCGGUACUGACGCUGAGGUGCGAAAGCUAGGGGAGCAAACAGG